rnacentral:sRNA from 16 species
AAAAAGCCCGCGACGCGUCGGCAUCAGCGGGCUUCAGUGCGGUACCACAGCCUGGACUCCAGCCGGCGGUGCCGGCCUUCGCUUUAGCUGUUUCGGGGCGAUUGCCCCACGUCCGCAAGCUGAAUCAAAUCGACGCAAGGCGCAUCGUAACACGCGAGCGCGAAACGAUGCGCGC